CAAGUGGAAAGUGGAGCAGUGGAACACGGAUGCAUAAAGAGCUGAGACGCCUGCCCCACAUUUAGCUUUCAAGCCCUCACUGCUACACCGCUAAAUGAUUCAGAAGUCAUCUCUUCUGAGGCGUAUUAAUAUCAACAUAAGUACUUUACAACCACAAAGCUCAAUGCGGCUGAAAAGGUCACCAUGGAGACUUCUAUUAGAUCGCACGUUCUUAUCUUUCUUUUUGUAUUGCUAUGGUUGCACACACCCGUUCAGCUUCUUUUCUAGGCAUGACUUUGCUUUUUCUUCCCUUGUGAUGCACCCUGACCUGCAGUCGGCUCCCAUCGAGUCAGGGAUUUCUGCUCUCGAGACGUAAUGUUCACCGUGACGCAACAGUGGGACCUUUUUGUAGCUUUCUCUCGUGACCUUCUGAUCUGAUGCACCUGAGAGCCAUCGCCACGUCUCCCCGCAGGCUACCUGAUCCAUGAGGCCUGCUGGAUCCACGGCUGGGAAACGCCGACCGAGAGACAAAUGUGUAUAAUCAUCCUAAAACCGGUGCAAUGCUGGACGAUGCUAAUAUUGAUCAGGGUAAAAAUGGUAAAUUGUGGGUUGUGCCUCUGCAUAAAAAAGAGCAAUAGUUGUAAAAUGCUUUUUCCUGGGUUGAUUUUUUGUUAAUGUGUUGAAUAUGAAUGAGGAAAGAUGCAAGAUACUCUUUAAAUGCAUUUAAAGAGUAUCUUCCUGUAAGAUCUCAUAAGUGACCUGUACUUUCUUUAUAAAACGUGGCUGAAGUCAUGUGUUGUAUCAUAAAUGGAAGAUGUGUGUCUCGGGUUUAUGUUGUGAAUGCAAAAAAAAAAAAGAGCAAUCAAAGGCAACUGUGUGCUGUUGUGUUCUUCUGAAUCGUGUCUCUCACUUGUACUUAACAAGUGUGUCUGAUUCGCUGAUGAUUUAUUAAAAAGAAGCUCGUUUGUAUAAUAAUGA